AUGGGCACCAGGAGAAAACCCAGAACUGGGCCGCUUAGCACGGAAGGAGUUGGGGGAGGGGCAGGGGAGCAAAGGCCAGGCCUGAGAGCCCCGCAGCCAAUUCCUAGGGUGGCUCGGGCUGGAGAAACAGCCUCGUCCUCCACAGGCCCUGGGGGUGCUGGGGGAGAGGGGAAGUACCGACACUUAGGAGGGACUCGGGAAACCCUGCCGACCUCGAGCUUGGCUAUUUCCGGGCGCGGCUCCUCGCGCCGGGCCCAGGAGUCCCUGGGUGGGGCAGCCCAAACGUGGAGAGUGGCCCCGUGGCCGAGAGCCCGCGGCCGCAGCGAGCUUAGCUUUUGGCCAAAUCCGGCCCGCGCGCCUUCCGGCUGUUGGGUCAGGGCUGAGAGUCCUCCCGGAGCCCUGCGUCACCGCCCAGACAGCGCCCAGCGUCCCUACCGGCAACCAGGCGCCCUCACCCCAGCGCCUGCACCCCGUGCGCCGCGCGCGGGCCGGGCGGAGGGAAAGUUGGCAGGAGCGCGGCGCCCGCGGGAGAAAGCGUUAAUGGGAGGCCGGGUGGGAGCAGCGCGCUCGCUCGCCCACGUCACGCCGGUGCGGGCUCGGCUGACGACCGCGGCGCCUGGGGACGCCGGCGCGCUCCGCUCGCCAGGUGCUCCGCCUGGAAAUGUCUCCAUUAGUUGUCGCCUGCUCCCCGCUGGAGCGCGCGCGCCGAGCUGCCGCGCGGAACCCUCGCGGGCGGCCGGGAGUGGCCCAGCGCCGCCGCAGGUAGGUGAGGGCCCCGCGCCCGCCCCCGCCCCGGGGUUCCAAGACCCCUCCCCCAUUCCGAGGAGGCGGAGGCUCCGUGCGGCCGCCGAGGGGCGCGGGCGGCGGCGGCAGCGGCGACUCCCCGGUGCGUCCCGGGCUGCGCGCUGCUCCCCGCGGCCCCGGAGCCACACGGCGCGGGCGGGAGCUUCCCCAGCUCAGGUAGGGAGUCGGCUCCGCCGCACAAACUUUGCGAGGAUCGCUCUUGCGCUGGAGGGGACAAAGUUUGCCACUCGCCGGGGGCUCUCCAGAGGCCGCUGCGUUUCUGCAAGUUCGGGAAGCAGGGUGCGUGGGGCGCGGGGUGGGGGGCCGGGAGUGGCAAGGCCUGAGGCCUAG
rnacentral:lncRNA from 13 species